AGUCAUCCGAGGAACCGACCGCACGCCGCUGAUGCGGAGAUUGUCUUACGACAAUUGAUGCUAAACAUGUAAAGAUCGGCAAAUACGUUUAAAUAUAUCAAGAAUUGGUUUACGUCCAUAUAUCGAGGGAACAGGGCGUUUGGAGUCAUUGCGAGUGACGCUUGGGCCUGGAACGGAGUACAGGUUUCCAUCUCUUGCUGCGUCUCUUCUCAUGGCUUUAGUCACUCGUUCCUGUGUUUCUGUUCUGAACAUUAAUGGUGUUUCAUGAUUCAGUUGCUUCUUCCCUAGUAUUACUUGCGUUAUUCCUGUCCUUCGGACAAAAGUGUUUAUACACAAUCAUACAGGUAUGGAAAUAAUUUAAUGGAAGCAUCACAAAAAUUAGAUGUGAAAUGUCAGAACAAAAAAAAAACUAAGAAUAAUUUUACAGUUGAUUACAAAUGAAAAGUAAAAAUACUUGAACUGCACAAUGCACUGAAUUGAAAUUACAAUAAUAAUUUUGCACAGUUGUCAAGACCUUUGACGAAUGGAAAAUAAACUGAAGUACUGUAUAAUUUUACACUAAUCAAAAUACGCUUGAAUUAUUUGAAUGAUUCAAGCGGGCAAAGGGCAUAUGUUCGUAGAGGAAGUAAAAAUUAAAACUGGUCCAAAUAGCAGCUAUACUUUUAUUUUCACCUCUGGGUGCCGAAAAGUGUAGGCGAGAAUAGUAAAUAUAUUUUUAACUAGUGUUUCUGGUGUUUUCCUAUAACCAUUUGGCUCCAGUUUGGUAGACUGAUAUUUCCUUCUGGCUGGGCCAUCGUAUCCCGGGGUUUGAAGUACUAGGGCCAUAUGAAGGAAAACAGCCAUAGAGUCCUCCUCCUUUUUUUUUUUUCUUUCUUUCUUUUUUUCGGUGGAAAUAAUAAGAGUAACACUGUAAACGUGAGGAAUUGUUUUAGGCGGGAAUUUCAAAAACGUAAUGUUUUUCCACGACCAAUUAUCGGCGGGCCCGCCAUGCAAGGAAACUACGCCGCGACAUAAUGCGGCAAGGCGGCCAGCUCCUUUCCGCCCCGAUUUUGGCCACAGUAUGCUGAUACCAGUAUGUCUGUACUAACCCAGCUGAGUCGACUGCGAGGGGUGACCGGGCGCGAACCCAGGAUCUUGACAUUGCAAAGUCAGCCACCUCAUAUAGCAAAUGCAUAAUAUACAAACGACAGAACUGUUUUGUGUCAAUGAACAAAUGACUAAUAAGUGAUUCGCACGCUGAGGAGGGCGAGCAUCCCGCGAAAGGCGCUCAGGUGCCGAGCGAGCGAGGGCGUCCGGGCGAGCGGUCCCCCUGGCCGGCCGACGGCAGCGCCGCCUCGCUUAGUCAACAUCCGCUCUCGUCGCUGCCAUAUCAGGACGGCUCUGCUCCCGCUUCUGCUGUCACUCUCGCCAAGCCGCAGCC
rnacentral:misc_RNA from 1 species